AUGGCCAAGCACCUAUAAAGUAAAGUAAUAAUUCAAAUUCCCACAAUACUUGGGCAAUAAAAAGCCCUAGACUGUAGUUAGCUCUUUUCUUCUUCACUAUAUAUUCAUCUCAAGCGGUUGAGCCACUCCUCUCCUUUUCUCUUCCUUUCUUUCAUUUUUUUUUACAAUCACGGUAAGUUCUUCUCCAUCAUUUCACCCAUUUUGUAUAAACAUAAUUCCUCUCCUUUACUAUUUUAUCUGUUUUAAAAUAGAAUGAAUGAUAAAUUGUUUUUUUUCUUUAAUUGAAUCAAUCAUUGCAUAAAAAUUAGACUUCGAUGGAUACUUGUUCUUUCGUGCCUGUUUCUGAUUUUUGUUGUUUUCUGCUUGUGUUUUUAAGUUGUUAUGUAUAUAACUUUACUUUUAAUAUAGAAAAACAAGUUCUUGAGAUCAUUUGACAUUUGGUUGACCUAAUUUAUUCUAGAGGGUGGAAUAACAAUGCCGGGAUAACUAAUCCCGGGAUAACUUGUUCCCCAUCCAAACGAGCCCUACUUGAUUUGCUGUUAGUGCUACUGGAAAGUUAAUCUUACAUGAUUGUUUGUAGGUGCAGGAUUUUGGUUUCAAUUUCUCCAAGUUAGGCUUGUGAUUGGUAGAAAAAAUGUUGUUCCUAUCUUUAUGCAAUGUAUUUGAUAUAAGAAAUGUCAACUCUCUUAUGAUUUUUGUUAGGUGUUAGCUUUUUCCUUUUUAUUUUUCAGUUCAAUUUAAUUUCUUUUCUGGUUCACAGGUGUGUUUCUUUGUGCGUGGUAGAAUAAAUUGAAGUUGGAAUGGAGUGUGUGGUUCAGGGAAUUAUUGAGACUCAACAUGUUGAGGCCCUGGAAAUUCUGCUUCAAGGGCUUUGUGGUGUACAUAAGCAAAGCUUAAGGAUCCAUGAACUGUGUCUUAAAAGUGUUCCGAACCUGGGUAAGUGAGUUUUCUCCGCGAACAAAGCUUAAGGAACUAUCUAAUUGUCAUGUAUGUACAUUGAGGCAAGUGCUUGCAAGUUGCAACCAGCUAUGCAAUCAUAGGGAUGUUUUCUCACCUUAGAGUUUUGAUAUAGUUGGUAUUUUCUUUUUCUAUGGUCCAUCUUAUUCUAGUUGUAUUGUUGUGCUGCUUAUCAAUGAUCGUAUGGAAUUAGAUUCAAGUAUAUUUCACUUUCAG